rnacentral:misc_RNA from 1 species
UGAAGGCCUUCUUCAAAGCCGAAAGAAUUUGGAUUCUGAUGCAGAAACCGGGUAGACUGUCUAUCGUAUCUGUAAAAAUAUACGAUCCUUCGUACAUUCUUGGUGUACUAGAGAAACAAAUGGCAGAAAUAUAUCAAGCAGGGGCGGGCGGAUGCCUAUUACGAAGAGUUUUCUUCAAUCAGCUUCAAUGAUCAUAACAAAACUAUGCUGUAGCAGUAGCAGCAGCUCAGAGUAUUAUAUGAACAUCCUCUAAGCAUUUGGUUCUUUAUUUGACUGGUGAAAUCCAAUUUGAAAAUCUCCAAUUCUAACAGAUCUUGUAUAUUAUGUAAAUAGUAAUUUAAAGUUAUCUUUUUACAUCUAGGGGCAUUAGCUCUUG